rnacentral:tRNA from 1 species
GAGGGUAUAGCUCAGUGGUAGAGCGCAUGCUUAGCAUGCAUGAGGUCCUGGGUUCAAUCCCCAGCACCUCUA